UUUUGGAACAAAGGAGAGCCGAUCACUCGACUUGUUCAACCAAAUAGGAUUUUAGACCUUAAGUCUCCUCUCUUGUUCUGUGUGGAUGAUCAACCUUGAACG